AAGUCGUAACAAGGUUUCCGUAGGUGAACCUGCGGAAGGAUCAUUAUUGAAUAUUCUUGAUGGGUUGUAGCUGGCUCUCCGGGGCAUGUGCACACUUGUCUUGACUUUAUUCGUCCACCUGUGCACCUUUUGUAGUCUUGGGGGUUGAGAGCAAGUCGACUAUCGGAUGGCUAAGGCCUUUCCGGACGUGAGGAUUGCUGAGUGCGAAAGCAUACAGCUCUUCUUAAAUGACUUGUAAUACCUCUCCCUCGAGUACUAUGUAUUCAUAUACCACAUAGUAUGUUGUAGAAUGUGAUCAAUGGGCCUAUGUGCCUAUAAUAAUGAUAUACAACUUUCAGCAACGGAUCUCUUGGCUCUC
rnacentral:misc_RNA from 1 species